CAGGACUGGCAGGCAGCAGCAGCCAGCCGGC
rnacentral:SRP_RNA from 15 species